rnacentral:rRNA from 1 species
ACGUGAUCUGAGUUCAGACCGGAGUAAUCCAGGUCGGUUUCUAUCUAUAACAGCACUUAUUCCAGUACGAAAGGACCGAAAAAGUAUGGCCUAUGCUUAAUGUAAGCCACCAUUAGUAAAUUAUGAUUACAACUUAAUAGUCUACUAACCUAAUACAUAUCUCAAAACAAGAGA